rnacentral:rRNA from 1 species
UACGUAGGGUGCAAGCGUUAAUCGGAAUACUGGGCGUAAAGCGUGCGCAGGCGGUGAUGUAAGACAGGUGUGAAAUCCCCGGGCUUAACCUGGGAACUGCAUUUGUGACUGCAUCGCUGGAGUGCGGCAGAGGGGGAUGGAAUUCCGCGUGUAGCAGUGAAAUGCGUAGAUAUGCGGAGGAACACCGAUGGCGAAGGCAAUCCCCUGGGCCUGCACUGACGCUCAUGCACGAAAGCGUAGGGGAGCGAAACAAGGAUUGAGAU